UGGGGAAUAUUGGGCAAUGGGCGCAAGCCUUACCCAGCAAUACCGCGUGAGUGAAGAAGGUCUUCGGAUUGUAAAGCUCUUUGAUCAGGGACGAACAGAUGACGGUACCUGAAGAACAAGCCCCGGCUAACUACGUGCCAGCAGCCGCGGUAAAACGUAGGGGGCGAGCGUUGUCCGGAAUGACUGGGCGUAAAGGGUGCGUAGGCGGCAUAAUAAGUUAGAAGUGAAAUACCCAGAGCUUAACUCGGGUGCUGCUUCUAAGACUGUUGAGCUUGAGUGCGGGAGAGGUUAAUGGAAUUCCUA
rnacentral:rRNA from 1 species